rnacentral:tRNA from 1 species
GGUGAUAUGGCUCAAUGGUAGAGCACUUACUUAGCAUGUGCGAGGCCCUGGGUUUGAUUCUCAGCACCA